CCCCACUCCUCUCCCCACCUACCACCUUCGACCAUUUUAAUGCUAGAUGGGACUCCUGUGGAAAUGGUGGACUGUAGGUCUUGGGGGAGGAGGGAAGAUGGGCGAAUUUGAAGCAGAGGGAGAGAGAAAGAGAUAAUUCCCCAAAGAAGGAGAAAUGGUCGAUUAACCCCUAAGGGGUGGUCCUCCCAGGCGAUCCAAGAAAGCCUAAUAGCAACUGCAGGGAGAAGAUAACAAUUCUAUUGUCUCUGAUUGGCAAAUACGAAAAAAGAUUGACAGUAUCAAGUGGAGGGAAUGCAGGGGGCGGGCUGCAGUGUUAAAUGGGAGGGGUAACUGAAGACUGGAGCUCAUUGAUGACGCGAUCUUCACGUGACCAGGAGUCGACGUGUGCAGAAGUCCUUAUAGUCCAGGGCCUGUUUCCCAGUAGCAGCUCCGUAUUACUGGAGGAAAGUGCCCCGGAUCCUUUCAGGACUCUUGGUCUUUUGGGCGCGACACAAAUCGAGUGAGGGAAGGAGGCAGGAAAAUCCCCUGGAUCCCUGCAGGAUUAUUCAAAAGAAAUACCAGAAAAAUAUUCAACAUGCAAAAGUCUUGUGAAGAAAAUGAAGGAAAACCACAGAACAUGCCAAAGACCGAGGCAGACCGCCCUUCAGAAGAUGUACCACAGGAGGGAGAAGGAAAUCCUCAACCUUCUGAAGAAGGUGUAAGCCAGGAAGCAGAAGGAAAUCUUAGAGGAGGGCUGAUUCAACCUGGCCCAGGGUUUAAAGAGGACACUCCUGUGAGGCAUUUGGACCCUGAAGAAAUGAUAAGAGGAGUAGAUGAGUUGGAAAGGCUUAGGGAAGAGAUAAGAAGAGUAAGAAACAAGUUUGUGAUGAUGCAUUGGAAGCAAAGACAUUCACGUAGCCGUCCUUAUCCUGUGUGCUUUAGGCCUUGAAUUCUUUUUUGUCUGAUAUUAAAAUCUGGCCCCUGCUUUCUUUCUGUUAGCGUUUUCUGAUGUAUCUCUGACCUUUGUUUUACCUUUAAUCAUCUGGUGGAAUUUUGUUUUAGGUAGCUUCCUUGUUACCACCAUCUCACU
rnacentral:lncRNA from 12 species